rnacentral:lncRNA from 13 species
CCAACUGACAUUUACUCCUGAGGUACCUGUUGUACCUUCUACAACCACUGGAAGACUGCAGGAGGGUGUGGACCUGAGCGAAAAAGAGAGAAAAAAGAGAGAGAGGCUGAGAGCCAAAGGAAACCAGGAGAAAAAGGUAGAAGAAAAGGAAGAGAAACUCUGGCUGAACAUCGGGCGUGACAACAGAGACAGAGAGAGAGUCACACGCUCGCUCGGCAGGAGUGUGUGCAGAUUGCCCUCUGUGUGCGUUUCACGUGUGUGUUGAGCAGGUGGGACUUUGAUGGGACAGUGAGCAAUGCCUCACACUCAGCAACAUCAGGUUGGCAGUAGGGGGCGACGCCCCCAUCUCCUCCUCCACCCUAUCCUCCUCCUCCCUCUCUUCUCUCUCCUCCUAUCCCACGCCCCCCAGCUCAGCCAAGGAGCCAUACACAUACCUUCUAACUACCAAAUAAAUGAAUUUAAGAAACCCCCAGUGAUCACCACCCAGCCUGAGUCCAUCACUGUGUUUGGUGCUGAAGACAUCCUCCUGACCUGCGAAGCAUCAGGGAACCCUCCUCCCGAGUUAGUUACCUAACACCAAACCCUUAGAAAAAAACUGCAGUUAAUAUAAAGUGCAGUGUGUUCCAAUUACCACACUUCACUGCUAUAACUACAGUAGAAAUGUGAUCUGUUUUUCUUAACUGUUUUGUAAGGAACAUGACAUGUAGUUUUUCAGACAUCUAGAAAUGUUCCAUUAGAAUUGCAUGAGAGCACAGCUCCUCAGUCACAGGCUUGCAUUCCAAAUGACACACUAUUACCUUUAAAGUGGACUACUUUUCACAUGGGCACUGGUUUAGGGAAUAGNNNNNNNNNNUACUCUCCCUCCCCGCUCCUACUCUUCUCACUCCCUUCCCCCUACCCUCCCUCCCCGCUCCUACUCUUCUCACUCUCUUCUCCCUCCCCUCCCUCCCCUCCCCUCCAGGAAUGCAUCACAUUGAGCUAAAUGAUCGUGUAACCCAGGGCCGGGACGGGAACCUAUACUUCUCUCACGUCACCGUCGAUGACACCCGUAUUGACUACACCUGUAACGCCCAGUACCUCAGCGCUCGCACCAUCCUCUCCAAGGAACCCAUCACCAUGACUGUUACAACCUGUAAGUACACCGUCACUCACCAUGGUAACACAGUACUAUAACUGUUAUGACCUAUAAUGCCCAGCACCUCAGCGCUCCAAACAAACUCUUUAAGGAACCCAUCAUCCUCACCGUCACAACCUGUAAAUACUAAACUAGACUGACCUCAGUAACCGUGGUAACACAAUGUAGACUGACCUUGGUCACCAUGGUAAUGCAGUACCAGUCAAUCACCCUGACCAUGAGUCACCACUAAUAAUGUCAGUCACCAUGGUAACAUACGAUAGCACCUGAAGGCCAUUUGUUAGCUACUGUACCGGUUGUCUCAACCCCUCCCCACAUGUUAGUUAAGAAGCCACUCUGAUAUUGAUAAACAGAGACACUGAUGGGACCGUAACCCAAGCCAAGGCCACCUGGGGGUAUAGGAGCAUGUCAGAUAUCUGUAGUGUUGCCUACAGUAGAGAGGCUAAUGAACAUAGAUGACAAGAAAAUAAUGUUCUUCUUACUCACGUACAUUUUCCCUGACACCCAAAAAUACUCGUUACAUUUUGAAUGCUUAACAGGACAGGAAAAUGUUCCAAUUCCCACACUUAUCAAGAGAACGUCCCUUGUCAUCCCUACUGCCUCUGAUCUGGUGGACUCACUAAACACAAACGCUUAGUUUGUAAGUUAUGUCUGAGUGUUGGAGUGUUCCCCUGACUAUCUGUAAAUUUAAAAAACAAGAAUAUCAUGCUGUCUGGUUGGCUCAAUGUGGAAUUUGAAAUGAUUUAUAGCAUUUACCCUACUUUACUGUUAAUACUUUAGUAUACUGAACAAAAAUAUAAAUGCAACAUGCAACAAUUUCAACGAGUUACAAUUCAUAUAAGGAAAUCAGUCCAAUUAAAUUGACAGCCACUUGACAGCCAGGCCCACCCACUUGACAGCCAGGCCCACCCACUUGACAGCCAGGCCCACCCACUUGACAGCCAGGCCCACCNNNNNNNNNNACAU